rnacentral:tRNA from 1 species
CGCGGGGUGGAGCAGUGUGGGGGCUCGUCGGGCUCAUAACCCCAAGGGCGUAGGUUCAAAUCCUGCCCCCGCCA